CUCCUCGGCGGGGAAUCGAACCCCCGGUCUCCCGCAGCGUGACAGGCGGGGAUACUCAACACUAUACUACCGAGGA